UUUUACAGGGGAAAGCACGCACACACGGAAGUAAGAAAUAGAAGCAGCGAAUAAGUCACGCACGCAGUCAACGGAAAACCUAGGGUUCUUUACAAAUCACUUAUUCUUGAACUCAGAAUCGAUUGUUUGACGGGUAUAAAUUGGACUGGGGUCUACCUAUUGGCUCAAGGAGUUUUGAGUACAACGUAGGAACCGGAUUUGCAGGCGAGCAGGCUACGAGUUAGGACUUCCUUCCCUUCCAGUGAUAUUGGUGAGCUCCGCUUUUGUUCGUGGAGUAUUCUUAGAGUCAUUUUCAUUUAGCUAUUUCUUUGUUUAUUUAGAGAAUUGGCCAGAAAAUCUCAUAUCCUGAGCAGUGCGUCAGUUUAUCAGUAGAGGCUUCAUAGACAUAGUCAUUGGGUUGAGAUUCAUAU